GAUCAAUGAUGAAAAUAGCCAGAUCUGAGCAUCUAAAAACCUUCUAGUCUACCUAUGCGUGAUCCCUGUGUGUGUGUGUCUAGUCUACCUAUGCGUGAUCCCUAUAGUUCUGAGA